rnacentral:rRNA from 1 species
AUUGAACGCUGGCGGCAGGCCUAACACAUGCAAGUCGAGCGGAUGAAGGGAGCUUGCUCCUGGAUUCAGCGGCGGACGGCUGAGUAAUGCCCAGGAAUCUGCCUGGUAGUGGGGGAUAACGUCCGGAAACGGGCGCUAAUACCGCAUACGUCCUGAGGGAGAAAGUGGGGGAUCUUCGGACCUCACGCUAUCAGAUGAGCCUAGGUCGGAUUAGCUAGUUGGUGGGGUAAAGGCCUACCAAGGCGACGAUCCGUAACUGGUCUGAGAGGAUGAUCAGUCACACUGGAACUGAGACACGGUCCAGACUCCUACGGGAGGCAGCAGUGGGGAAUAUUGGACAAUGGGCGAAAGCCUGAUCCAGCCAUGCCGCGUGUGUGAAGAAGGUCUUCGGAUUGUAAAGCACUUUAAGUUGGGAGGAAGGGCAGUAAGUUAAUACCUUGCUGUUUUGACGUUACCAACAGAAUAAGCACCGGCUAACUUCGUG